GACGAACGCUGGCGGCGUGCUUAACACAUGCCAGUCGAACGGAAAGGCCCUGCUUUUGUGGGGUGCUCGAGUGGCGAACGGGUGAGUAACACGUGAGUAACCUGCCCUUGACUUUGGGAUAACUUCAGGAAACUGGGGCUAAUACCGGAUAGGAGCUCCUGCUGCAUGGUGGGGGUUGGAAAGUUUCGGCGGUUGGGGAUGGACUCGCGGCUUAUCAGCUUGUUGGUGGGGUAGUGGCUUACCAAGGCUUUGACGGGUAGCCGGCCUGAGAGGGUGACCGGCCAAAGGGGGAGUGAGAACCGGCCGAGACCCCUACGGGGGGCAGCAGGGGGGAAUAUUGCACAAGGGGGGGAGGCCUGGUGCAGCAACGCCGCGGGGGGGAUGGCGGCCUUGGGGGUGUAAACCGUUUUCGCUUGUGACGAAGCGGGGGUGCCGGAAAGGGGUAAAGAAGCACCGGCUAACGACG
rnacentral:rRNA from 1 species